rnacentral:rRNA from 1 species
AACGAACGCUGGCGGCAUGCCUAACACAUGCAAGUCGAACGAAGUCUUCGGACUUAGUGGCGCACGGGUGCGUAACGCGUGGGAAUCUGCCCUUGGGUACGGAAUAACUCAGAGAAAUUUGUGCUAAUACCGUAUAAUGUCUUCGGACCAAAGAUUUAUCGCCCAAGGAUGAGCCCGCGUAAGAUUAGCUAGUUGGUGGGGUAAAAGCCUACCAAGGCGACGAUCUUUAGCUGGUCUGAGAGGAUGAUCAGCCACACUGGGACUGAGACACGGCCCAGACUUCUACGGGAGGCAGCAGUGGGGAAUAUUGGACAAUGGGCGAAGGCCUGAUCCAGCAAUGCCGCGUGAGUGAUGAAGGCCUUAGGGUUGUAAAGCUCUUUUACCAGGGAUGAUAAUGACAGUACCUGGAGAAUAAGCUCCGGCUAACUCCGUGCCAGCCGCCGCAGUAAUAC